CUGAAAUUAAAUCGAAGCAUCUUUACGUAAUUAUUUAUCCACUCUAAGAUUGUAUUAGACAAUCAGUGAUUGAAGAAUUCACCCAAUAUACACCAGCCAUGGUGUUCAUAUUUCCAACGUUUCAUUCCAUGAAGCUCCUAUCAUUUUGGUUGCUUCUAAUAGUAAUGCGGUUUGGUGCAUUCAUUAUGGCCACUUCUCUCCUUGCUACUGCAUCCUCUGCCUCACUCACACUACAACACAGUGAAGCAAAAGCUUUGUUGAAGUGGAAAGCCAGCCUUGACAACCAAAGUCAGGCUUUGUUAUCUUCAUGGGGUGGCAAUAGUCCUUGCAGCAAUUGGCUUGGAAUUGCUUGUGACCACUCCAAAUCUGUCUCCAACAUAACUCUUAGAGGUAUUGGGUUAACGGGUACGCUUCAAACUCUCAACUUUUCAUCACUUCCAAACAUCCUCAUUCUAGAUAUGAGUCAUAACUCAUUGAAUGGAAGUAUUCCUCCCCAAAUUGGGGUUCUGUCACAACUUACUCAUCUUGGUUUAGGUGUGAAUAAUCUCUCUGGACCAAUUCCUUCCACUAUAGGAAACUUGACAAAGCUCACCAAACUCAGUCUGCGCUCAAAUAAACUCUCAGGGCCAAUUCCUUCCACUAUUGGAAACUUGACAAAGCUCAGCACACUUGCCUUAUUCUCAAAUAAGCUUAGUGGAAACAUUCCAAUAGAAUUGAACAAGCUUAGCAACCUGAAAAUUUUGUCUUUUUCUUACAAUAAUUUCAUAGGUCCUUUGCCUCACAACAUUUGCAUUAGUGGAAAGUUGAUGAACUUUACUGCUAAUGAUAACUUUUUCACGGGCCCACUACCAAAGAGUUUGAAGAAUUGUUCCAGCCUUGUAAGGUUGAGGCUUGAUCAAAAUCAACUGACUGGAAAUAUAGCAGAUGAUUUUGGUGUCUAUCCAAAUUUGGAUUAUAUUGACCUAAGUGAAAAUAAAUUGUAUGGUCAUCUUUCCCAAAACUGGGGAAAGUGCUAUAAACUCACAAGCCUUAAAAUCUCCAAUAACAAUUUAUCUGGCAGCAUCCCUGUAGAACUAAGCCAGGCAACCAAUUUACAUGUACUUCACCUAACUUCAAACCAUUUCACAGGAGGCAUUCCAGAAGAUUUAGGUAAAUUGACCUACUUGUUUGAUCUCUCUCUCGAUAACAAUAAUCUUUCAAGGAAUGUCCCUAUACAAAUAGCAUCAUUGAAAAAUCUUAAAACCUUGAAACUUGGAGCAAAUAAUUUCAUUGGCUUGAUUCCAAAUCAUCUUGGCAAUUUGGUCAACUUAUUACACUUAAAUUUGAGCCAAAAUAAAUUCAGGGCAAGUAUUCCAUCUGAGUUUGGUAAACUAAAAUAUCUUCGAAGUCUUGAUCUUAGCAAGAACUUUCUGAGUGGAACAAUAGCACCAUUGCUUCGAGAGUUGAAAAGCUUAGAAACAUUGAAUCUCUCUCAUAAUAAUCUUUCAGGGGAUCUCUCUAGCCUUGAAGAGAUGGUAAGCUUGAUAUCAGUUGAUAUAUCGUACAACCAAUUACAGGGUUCACUUCCAAACAUUCCAGCCUUCAAUAAUGCUUCAAUGGAGGAAUUGAGAAAUAAUAAAGGCUUGUGUGGCAACGUCUCAAGCUUGGAACCAUGCCCAACAUCAAGUAACAGAUCUCCAAAUAAUAAGACUAACAAAGUCAUAUUGGUAUUACUACCCAUUGGUUUGGGUACUUUAUUACUAUUAUUUGCCUUUGGAGUCUCAUAUCAUCUUUUUCGAAGCUCAAACAUACAAGAACACUGUGAUGCAGAAUCACCAAGCAAAAAUCUAUUUGUGAUAUGGAGUUUGGAUGGAAAAAUGGCGUAUGAGAACAUAGUCAAAGCCACAGAAGAGUUUGACAAUAAACAUCUCAUCGGGGUUGGAGGACAAGGUAGUGUUUAUAAAGCAGAACUGCACACAGGUCAAGUAGUUGCUGUCAAGAAACUGCAUUCAAUCCAAAAUGGAGAAAUGUCCAAUAUUAAAGCUUUCACAAGUGAAAUUCAAGCUUUGGCAAAAAUUCGACAUCGUAACAUUGUGAAGUUAUAUGGCUUUUGUUCUCAUUCACGAGUCUCAUUUUUGGUGUAUGAGUUCUUGGAAAAGGGAAGCAUGAAUAAGAUUUUAAAAGAUGAUGAACAAGCAAUUGCAUUUAAUUGGAAUAGGAGGAUGAAUGCCAUAAAAGAUGUAGCAAAUGCAUUGUGCUAUAUGCAUCAUGAUUGUUCUCCUCCAAUUGUUCAUCGAGAUAUAUCAAGCAAAAAUGUUCUUUUGGAUUUGGAAUAUGUGGCUCAUGUCUCAGAUUUUGGAACAGCCAAGCUUCUUAAUCCUGAUUCAACCAAUUGGACCUCACUUGCUGGCACUUUUGGAUAUGCUGCUCCAGAACUUGCAUACACAAUGGAAGUGAAUGAUAAAAGCGAUGUGUAUAGCUUUGGGGUAUUAGCAUUGGAAAUUGUUUUUGGAGAGCACCCUGUAGAUUUUAUAAAUUCUUCAUUAUGGACAUCUUCAUCCAAUGUCAUGGACUUAACAUUUGACAUUCCUUCCUUAAUGAUUAAGUUAGACCAACGUCUCCCUUAUCCUACAAAUCUUGCUGCUAAGGAGAUAGCUUUGAUUGUAAAAAUAGCAAAUGCUUGCUUGGCUGAAAGUCCUUCUUUGCGCCCUACCAUGAAGCAAGUUGCCAAGGAGCUUGCAAUGUCAAAGUCAUCUUCAAUCCAUUAAUUUCACAUUGUCAUUGCCAAGGAGCUUGCGUGAGUUCUACUCGUCCAUCCCCCCUAUCCAACUUUGCGAUAACUUGCAUACACAAUGGAAGUAAAUGAUAAAUGUGAUGUAUAUAGCUUUGGGGUAUUAGCAUUGGAAAUACUUUGUGGAGGGCACCCUGGAGAUUUUAUAACUUCAUUGAUGACAUCUUCACCAAAUGUCAUGGACUCAACACUUGAUAUUCCUUCAUUGAUCGGUAACUUAGACUGACGUGUCCCUUAUCCUCCAAAUCCUAUUGCUAAGGAGAUAGUUUGAUUGUGAGGAUAGUAAAUGCUUGCUUGACUGAAAGACCUUGUUCUCCCCCUACUAUGAUGCAAGUUGCGAUGGAUCUUGCAAUGUGAAAGUCAUCUUCAAUCCGUUAAUUUCACAUUGUCAUGUAUAUUUAGUUGAAAGAUUAAAUUUGCCGAAUAUAAGCAUGAUUUCUACUCCCCCA